AGAAUCAACGCUGGCGGCGUGCCUAACACAUGCAAGUCGAACGAGAAAGUGGAGCAAUCCAUGAGUAAAGUGGCGCACGGGUGAGUAACACGUGACUAACCUACCCUUGAGUGGGGGAUAACCUAGAGAAAUCUGGGCUAAUACCGCAUAAUACCCACGGGUCAAAGCAGCAAUGCGCUUGGAGAGGAGUUCGCGGCCGAUUAGCUAGUUGGCGGGGUAAUGGCCCACCAAGGCGAUGAUCGGUA
rnacentral:rRNA from 1 species